rnacentral:rRNA from 1 species
UGCAAGUCGAACGAACCUUCGGGUUAGUGGCGGACGGGUGAGUAACGCGUGGGAAUCUGCCCUCAGGAGGGGGAUAACGGUUGGAAACGACCGCUAAUACCCCAUAUGCCGAUAGGUGAAAUGAAUUUCGCCUGAGGAUGAGCCCGCGUCUGAUUAGCUAGUUGGUAAGGUAAAGGCUUACCAAGGCUUCGAUCAGUAGCUGGUCUGAGAGGAUGAUCAGCCACACUGGGACUGAGACACGGCCCAGACUCCUACGGGAGGCAGCAGUGGGGAAUUUUCCGCAAUGGGCGAAAGCCUGACGGAGCAACGCCGCGUGAGGGACGAAGGCCUCUGGGCUGUAAACCUCUUUUCUCAAGGAAGAAGAUAUGACGGUACUUGAGGAAUAAGCCACGGCUAAUUCCGUGCCAGCAGCCGCGGUAAUACGGGAGUGGCAAGCGUUAUCCGGAAUUAUUGGGCGUAAAGCGUCCGCAGACGGCCUUUCAAGUCUGCUGUUAAAGCGUGGAGCUCAACUCCAUUAUGGCAGUGGAAACUGAUAGGCUUGAGUAUGGUAGGGGCAGAGGGAAUUCCCGGUGUAGCGGUGAAAUGCGUAGAUAUCGGGAAGAACACCAGUGGCGAAGGCGCUCUGCUGGGCCAUUACUGACGCUCAUGGACGAAAGCCAGGGGAGCGAAAGGGAUUAGAUACCCCUGUAGUCCUGGCCGUAAACGAUGAACACUAGGUGUCGGGGGAAUCGACCCCCUCGGUGUCGUAGCUAACGCGUUAAGUGUUCCGCCUGGGGAGUACGCACGCAAGUGUGAAACUCAAAGGAAUUGACGGGGGCCCGCACAAGCGGUGGAGUAUGUGGUUUAAUUCGAUGCAACGCGAAGAACCUUACCAGGGUUUGACAUCCUGCGAACCUCUUAGAAAUUUGAGGGUGCCUUCGGGAAUGCAGUGACAGGUGGUGCAUGGCUGUCGUCAGCUCGUGUCGUGAGAUGUUGGGUUAAGUCCCGCAACGAGCGCAGCCCACGUUUUUAGUUGCCAGCAUUUAGUUGGGCACUCUAGAAAGACCGCCGGUGAUAAACCGGAGGAAGGUGUGGAUGACGUCAAGUCAUCAUGCCCCUUACACCCUGGGCUACACACGUACUACAAUGCUACGGACAAAGGGUAGCAAACUCGCGAGAGCUAGCAAAUCCCAUAAACCGUGGCUCAGUUCAGAUCGUAGGCUGCAACUCGCCUACGUGAAGUAGGAAUCGCUAGUAAUCGCAGGUCAGCAUACUGCGGUGAAUACGUUCCCGGGCCUUGUACACACCGCCCGUCACACCAUGGAAGUUGGCCAUGCCCGAAGUCGUUACUCCAACCCUUGUGGAGGAGGACGCCGAA